GCCUGGGUGGCUCAGUCGGUUGAGCGUCCGACUUCGGCUCAGGUCAUGAUCUCAUGGUCCGUGAGUUCGAGCCCCGCAUCGGGCU
rnacentral:tRNA from 1 species